rnacentral:lncRNA from 1 species
CCGUCGACUUAUUUCUAGCAAAUAAGAACAAUUGGCGUGGAACUGUAGUAGUAUUGGAAAGUAACGAGAAAAACUACAUGGUCAAGAUCAAUGACCUGAAAGCAAAGUAUGAAAAUGUUACCUUUGAGUAGUAGCAUUAGAGGGGGAAGUAAUAAAGUAAGUAGUGUUCUGCUAUGUGUAUGUCUAGUCUUUGUUUUUUCUUUCCUAAUAAUCGUG